UGCUUACACAUGCAAGUCGAACGGAAAGGCCCCUUCGGGGGUACUCGAGUGGCGAACGGGUGAGUAACACGUGGGUGAUCUGCCCUGGACUCUGGGAUAAGCCUGGGAAACUGGGUCUAAUACCGGAUAUGACCUCGCAUCGCAUGGUGUGGGGUGGAAAGCUUUUGCGGUUCAGGAUGGGCCCGCGGCCUAUCAGCUUGUUGGUGGGGUAAUGGCCUACCAAGGCGACGACGGGUAGCCGACCUGAGAGGGUGAUCGGCCACACUGGGACUGAGACACGGCCCAGACUCCUACGGGAGGCAGCAGUGGGGAAUAUUGCACAAUGGGCGCAAGCCUGAUGCAGCGACGCCGCGUGAGGGAUGACGGCCUUCGGGUUGUAAACCUCUUUCGCCAGGGACGAAGCGCAAGUGACGGUACCUGGAGAAGAAGCACCGGCCAACUACGUGCCAGCAGCCGCGGUAAUACGUAGGGUGCGAGCGUUGUCCGGAAUUACUGGGCGUAAAGAGCUCGUAGGCGGUUUGUCGCGUCGUCUGUGAAAUUCUGCAACUCAAUUGCAGGCGUGCAGGCGAUACGGGCAGACUUGAGUACUACAGGGGAGACUGGAAUUCCUGGUGUAGCGGUGAAAUGCGCAGAUAUCAGGAGGAACACCGGUGGCGAAGGCGGGUCUCUGGGUAGUAACUGACGCUGAGGAGCGAAAGCGUGGGGAGCGAACAGGAUUAGAUACCCUGGUAGUCCACGCCGUAAACGGUGGGUACUAGGUGUGGGUUCCAUUUCACGGGACCCGUGCCGUAGCUAACGCAUUAAGUACCCCGCC
rnacentral:rRNA from 1 species